GCCAGAGUAGCUCAGUCGGUAGAGCAGAGGACUCAUAAGCCUUUGGUCGGCGGUUCAAGUCCGCCCUCUGGCACCA
rnacentral:tRNA from 1 species